rnacentral:rRNA from 1 species
UACGUAGGGGGCUAGCGUUGUCCGGAAUCAUUGGGCGUAAAGCGCGCGUAGGCGGCCCGGUAAGUCCGCUGUAAAAGUCAAAGGCUCAACCUUUGAAUGUCAGUGGAUACUGCCGGGCUAGAGUUCGGAAGAGGCGAGUGGAAUUCCCGGUGUAGCGGUGAAAUGCGCAGAUAUCGGGAGGAACACCUAUGGCGAAGGCGGCUCGCUGGGACGUUACUGACGCUGAGACGCGAAAGCGUGGGGAGCAAACAGG